CUUGCCGUCCUCCGUGUGCGCUGCGAGAGAGAAAACCAGAGCUGGAGGGGCUGGGCAGGGAGGAGGGAACCGAGCCCGGUGCCCCCUCCGCCCGCACCGACCUUUCUCGUGCUGCAGCCACCUGCGCUCCAGAGGGGAAAAAAAACCCAGAAGAGGCCGUGGCUCACCUUUCCCAGCAGCUCCUGGGGAGUGUAGGCUGAGCUGGGCUUGAAGAGCGAGCCAGUCUGGCUCAGGGUGGUCACAAUGGCACCUCCACUCUGGAAGGCAGAGCAGAAAUAAAAAUCCUGUCAGCUGCAAA